rnacentral:rRNA from 1 species
UGGGGAAUUUUGGACAAUGGGGGAAACCCUGAUCCAGCCAUCCCGCGUGUGCGAUGAAGGCCUUCGGGUUGUAAAGCACUUUUGGCAGGAAAGAAACGUCAUGGGUUAAUACCCCGUGAAACUGACGGUACCUGCAGAAUAAGCACCGGCUAACUACGUGCCAGCAGCCGCGGUAAUACGUAGGGUGCAAGCGUUAAUCGGAAUUACUGGGCGUAAAGCGUGCGCAUGCGGUUCGGAAAGAAAGAUGUGAAAUCCCAGAGCUCAACUUUGGAACUGCCUUUUUAACUACCGGGCUAGAGUGUGUCAGAGGGAGGUGGAAUUCCGCGUGUAGCAGUGAAAUGCGUAGAUAUGCGGAGGAACAACGAUGGCGAAGGCAGCCUCCUGGGAUAACACUGACGCUCAUGCACGAAAGCGUGGGGAGCAAACAGG